rnacentral:rRNA from 1 species
CAGUCGCCACGGGAAAACGGAGGGGGCUAGCGUUGUUCGGAAUUACUGGGCGUAAAGCGCACGUAGGCGGCUUGGUAAGUUAGAGGUGAAAGCCCGGAGCUCAACUCCGGAAUUGCCUUUAAGACUGCCGAGCUAGCAGGUGAGAGAGGUAAGUGGAAUUCCGAGUGUAGAGGUGAAAUUCGUAGAUAUUCGGAAGAACACCAGUGGCGAAGGCGGCUUACUGGCUCAUACUGGACGCUGAGGUGCGAAAGCGUGGGGAGCAAACAGGAUUAGAUACCCGAGUAGUCCCUGUCUCUUAUAC